CAACGGUUGUCAAUGGCCCU
rnacentral:miRNA from 1 species